rnacentral:rRNA from 1 species
AUUGAACGCUGGCGGCAGGCCUAACACAUGCAAGUCGGACGAGUGGCGGACGGGUGAGUAAUGUAUGGGGAUCUGCCUGAUGGAGGGGGAUAACUACUGGAAACGGUAGCUAAUACCGCAUACCAUCGGAUGAGCCCAUAUGGGAUUAGCUGGUAGGUAGGGUAACGGCUUACCUAGGCGACGAUCCCUAGCUGGUCUGAGAGGAUGACCAGCCACACUGGGACUGAGACACGGCCCAGACUCCUACGGGAGGCAGCAGUGGGGAAUAUUGCACAAUGGGCGCAAGCCUGAUGCAGCCAUGCCGCGUGUAUGAAGAAGGCCUUCGGGUUGUAAAGUACUUUCAGUGGGGAGGCGUUACCGGCAGAAGAAGCACCGGCUAACUCCGUGCCAGCCGCCGCGGUAAUUC